rnacentral:rRNA from 1 species
GACGAACGCUGGCGGCGUGCCUAAUACAUGCAAGUCGAGCGGACCAAAGGGAGCUUGCUCCUGGAGGUUAGCGGCGAACGGGUGAGUAACACGUGGGCAACCUGCCUGUAAGACUGGGAUAACAUCGAGAAAUCGGUGCUAAUACCGGAUAAUAAAAGAACUGCAUGGUUCUUUUUGAAAGAUGGUUUCGGCUAUCACUUACAGAUGGGCCGCGGCGCAUUAGCUAGUUGGUGAGGUAACGGCUCACCAAGGCGACGAUGCGUAGCCGACCUGAGAGGGUGAUCGGCCACACUGGGACUGAGACACGGCCCAGACUCCUACGGGAGGCAGCAGUAGGGAAUCUUCCGCAAUGGACGAAAGUCUGACGGAGCAACGCGCGUGAGUGAUGAAGGUUUUCGGAUCGUAAAACUCUGUUGUUAGGGAAGAACAAGUGCCGUUCGAAAGGGCGGCACCUUGACGGUACCUAACGAGAAAGCCACGGCUAACUACGUGCCAGCAGCCGCGGUAAAGUG